rnacentral:lncRNA from 1 species
UUCUAGCUAGACUCAUCCACCUGUUGAGCAAUUUCAUUCUUCAGCAUAUAUUUGCAUUAAUAUAACGUGAGUUCAACUACUUUAUAAUAAAAAAAAAUUCAAACAAAGAACUGACUCAAACAAAUCUGAAGUAAACACUACAAAUCAUCACAUAAGAUUAACUAAAAUUCCAAAUAAACUAACACAGUAUAUUCAUAUAAGAGAAGAAUAAAAGAUGUAGAGUUUAAGACUGGAUCUCAAAAUAAACCUGAGCUUUACAAUUAUUCGAGCAAAACUGUGGAUCGGGUUGGAACAAAAUCUUGAAACGGAACCACAGACGGAAGCCCAUAAACAGCAACAAACUCGAGCUCACCGGAAAUCCAAAUUUCAGCGACAAACAAUGCUAAACAACAACUUAUAGCGAUGGAGAAAGAAAGACGACGGAUGAUCGUGAUUUGAACAAGAACUGAAGAUGAACCUUCUUUUACGACUUUGAUUUGUUGUCUUUUGGAUUUUCGUUCCCAGCUAGGGAGAUAGCCAAUUUGUUUUUUAAGAAAUCAGGGGUCUGCUUUCGAUGUUUUCUCUAGAAGAUGGAGUUCUGGUCGUUUCUUUUUUAUUGAUUGAUGCGGCUGAUUUUCUUUUUGGCUCUUUAGGCAUUUUCUGAUUUUUGUUCAUGGAAGAAGAAGAAUUUUCAGGGUCUUCUCUAUUUUUUGAC